rnacentral:tRNA from 9 species
GGACCUUUAGCUCAGCUGGUUAGAGCAGACGGCUCAUAACCGUCCGGUCGCAGGUUCGAGUCCUGCAAGGUCCACCA